CUGGAAUUGCUAGUAAUGGCAGGUCAGCAUACUGCCGUGAAUACGUUCCCGGGCCUUGUACACACCGCCCGUCACACCAUGAGAGUUGGGAAUACCCGAAGCCUGUGAGCUAACUGUAAAGAGGCAGCAGUCGAAGGUAGAAUCAAUGAUUGGGUGAAGUCGUAACAAGGUAAC
rnacentral:rRNA from 1 species